rnacentral:rRNA from 1 species
AGAGUUUGAUCCUGGCUCAGAAUAAACGCUGGCGGCGUGCCUAACACAUGCAAGUCGAGCGAGAAAGUCCUUCGGGAUGAGUACAGCGGCAGACGGGUGAGUAACGCGUGAGAAUCUACCCUUCAGUGAAGAAUACCCUCGAGAAAUCGAGGCUAAUACUGCAUACGUCCCUUCGGGGAGAAAGAUGGCCUCUUUGCUGUCGCUGUUGGAUGAGCUUGCGUACUAUUAGCUAGUCGGUGGGGUAAUAGCCUACCAAGGCGAUGAUGGUUAGCCGGCCUGAGAGGGUGAUCGGCCACACUGGAACUUAGACACGGUCCAGACUCCUACGGGAGGCAGCAGUGAGGAAUAUUGCGCAAUGGGCGAAAGCCUGACGCAGCGACGCCGCGUGAAGGAUGAAGGUCUUCGGAUUGUAAACUUCUGUUAAGCGGGACGAAAGACCCAUUUCUAAUACAAGUGGGGGAUGACGGUACCGCUAGAGAAAGCACCGGCUAAACUCGUGCCAGCAGCCGCGGUAAUACGAGUGGUGCAAGCGUUAUUCGGAAUUAUUGGGCGUAAAGGGCGCGUAGGUGGUGUAUUAAGUCAACUGUUAAAUUCUUCGGCCUAACCGGAGGUGUGCGGUAGAUACUGAUAUGCUUGAGGAUGGAAGAGAGAAGUGGAAUUCUUGGAGUAGCGGUAAAAUGCGUAGAUAUCAAGAGGAACACCAAUGGCGAAGGCAGCUUCUUGGUCCAUUCCUGACACUGAUGCGCGAAAGCGUGGGGAGCAAACAGGAUUAGAUACCCUGGUAGUCCACGCUGUAAACGAUGAUCACUAGACGUUAGGCCUGCUUGCAGGCUUAGUGUCGUAGCUAACGCGAUAAGUGAUCCGCCUGGGGAGUACGGUCGCAAGAUUAAAACUCAAAGAAAUUGACGGGGGUCCGCACAAGCGGUGGAACAUGUGGUUUAAUUCGACACUACGCGAGGAACCUUACCUGGGUUUGACAUGUAUUUGACCGUCGUAGAAAUACGAUUUUCUAGGCGUAAGUCUAGACAGAUACACAGGUGCUGCAUGGCUGUCGUCAGCUCGUGUCGUGAGAUGUUGGGUUAAGUCCUCUAACGAGCGCAACUCCUACCAUCAGUUGCUAUCCUUCGGGAGCACUCUGAUGGAACUGCCUGGGAAACCAGGAGGAAGGUGGGAACGAUGUCAAGUCAUCAUGGCCCUUAUGUCCAGGGCUACACACGUGUUACAAUGGCGAGGUACAAAGGGUUGCAAUCCCGCAAGGGGGAGCCAAUCUCAUAAAACUCGUCUAAGUUCGGAUUGAGGUCUGCAACUCGACCUCAUGAAGUUGAAAUCGCUAGUAAUCGCGUAUCAGCAACGACGCGGUGAAUACGUUCUCGGACCUUGUACACACCGCCCGUCACACCAUGAGAGCUGUCUGUACCCAAAGUCAUUUUAGCUAACCGUAAGGAGGCGGAUGCCUAAGGUAUGGGGAGUGAUUGGGGUGAAGUCGUAACAAGGUAACC